UACUACCGAAGCUACGGCAUCAGUAAUGAUGGGUAGGGGAGCUUCCCAUACGGGUUGAAGCAUGACCGUAAGGACAUGUGGACAGUAUGGGAGUGAGAAUGUUGGCAUGAGUAGCGAGAUGUGGGUGAGAAUCCCACAGGCCGUAAACCCAAGGUUUCCAGGGGAAGGUUCGUCCGCCCUGGGUUAGUCGGGACCUAAGCUGAGGCCGAAAGGCGUAGGUGAUGGACAACAGGUUGAUAUUCCUGUACUACCGAUAACCGUUUGAGAGAUGGGAUGACACAGUAGGAUAAGCUAAGCACACGGUUGGUUAUGUGUGCCCAAGCAUGGAGGCAGUCAAAGUAGGCAAAUCCGCUUUGAUAAUGCUGGGAUGUGAUGGGGAGCGAAAUUUAGUAGCGAAGUAGCUGAUUUCACACUGUCAAGAAAAGUCUCUAUCGAGGUUAAAGGUACCCGUACCGCAAACCGACACAGGUGGGUGAGGAGAGUAUCCUAAGGCCA
rnacentral:rRNA from 1 species